UUCCAGACUCCUACGGGAGGCAGCAGUGGGGGAUAUUGGACAAUGGGGGAAACCCUGAUCCAGCGACGCCGCGUGAGUGAAGAAGUAUUUCGGUAUGUAAAGCUCUGUCAGCAGGGAAGAAAGAAAUGACGGUACCUGACCAAGAAGCCCCGGCUAACUACGUGCCAGCAGCCGCGGUAAUACGUAGGGGGCAAGCGUUAUCCGGAAUUACUGGGUGUAAAGGGAGCGUAGACGGUUAAGUAAGUCUGGAGUGAAAGGCCGGGGCCCAACCCCGGGACUGCUCUGGAAACUAUUGAACUUGAGUGCAGGAGAGGUAAGCGGAAUUCCUAGUGUAGCGGUGAAAUGCGUAGAUAUUAGGAGGAACACCAGUGGCGAAGGCGGCUUACUGGACUGUAACUGACGUUGAGGCUCGAAAGCGUGGGGAGCAAACAGGAUUAGAUACCCUCGUAA
rnacentral:rRNA from 1 species